GACGGAGGAUGCAAGUGUUAUCCGGAAUCACUGGGCGUAAAGCGUCUGUAGGUGGUUUAAAAAGUCCACUGUUAAAGAUUGAAGCUUAACUUCAAAAAUGCCGUGGAAACUUUUAAACUUGAGUAUGAUAGGGGUAGAGGGAAUUUCCAGUGGAGCGGUGAAAUGCGUAGAUAUUGGAAAGACCACCAAUGGCGAAAGCAACUCUGCUGGGCCGACACUGACACUGAGAGACGAAAGCUAGGGGAGCGAAUGG
rnacentral:rRNA from 1 species